rnacentral:rRNA from 1 species
GAUGAACGCUGGCGGCGUGCUUAACACAUGCAAGUCGAACGAAGCGCGGAAGCGGAGGCCCUUCGGGGCGGAAGCGUCCGCGACUGAGUGGCGGACGGGUGAGUAACGCGUGGGCAACCUGCCCCAUACAGGGGGAUAACAGCCGGAAACGGCUGCUAAUACCGCAUAAGCGCACGGAACCGCAUGGUUUAGUGUGAAAAGCCGAGACGGUAUGGGAGGGGCCCGCGUCUGAUUAGCUUGUUGGCGGGGCAGCGGCCCACCAAGGCGACGAUCAGUAGCCGGCCUGAGAGGGCAGACGGCCACAUUGGGACUGAGACACGGCCCAA